rnacentral:rRNA from 1 species
GAUGAACGCUGGCGGCGUGCCUAAUACAUGCAAGUCGAGCGAAUGGAUUAAGAGCUUGCUCUUAUGAAGUUAGCGGCGGACGGGUGAGUAACACGUGGGUAACCUGCCCAUAAGACUGGGAUAACUCCGGGAAACCGGGGCUAAUACCGGAUAACAUUUUGAACCGCAUGGUUCGAAAUUGAAAGGCGGCUUCGGCUGUCACUUAUGGAUGGACCAGCGUCGCAUUAGCUAGUUGGUGAGGUAACGGCUCACCAAGGCAACGAUGCGUAGGCGACCUGAGAGGGUGAUCGGCCACACUGGGACUGAGACCCGGCCCAGACUCCUACGGGAGGCAGCAGUAGGGAAUCUUCCGCAAUGGACGAAAGUCUGACGGGGCAACGCCGCGUGAGUGAUGAAGGCUUUCGGGUCGUAAAACUCUGUUGUUAGGGAGAGCAAGUGCUAGUUGAAUAAGCUGGCACCUUGACGGUACCUAACCAGAAAGCCACGGUUAACUACGUGCCAGCCGCCGCGGUAA